UGGGGAAUUUUGGACAAUGGGCGCAAGCCUGAUCCAGCAAUGCCGCGUGCAGGAUGAAGGCCUUCGGGUUGUAAACUGCUUUUGUACGGAGCGAAAAGGUCUGCCCUAAUACGGUGGGCUCAUGACGGUACCGUAAGAAUAAGCACCGGCUAACUACGUGCCAGCAGCCGCGGUAAUACGUAGGGUGCGAGCGUUAAUCGGAAUUACUGGGCGUAAAGCGUGCGCAGGCGGUUAUAUAAGACAGAUGUGAAAUCCCCGGGCUCAACCUGGGACCUGCAUUAGUGACUGUAUAGCUAGAGUACGGUAGAGGGGGAUGGAAUUCCGCGUGUAGCAGUGAAAUGCGUAGAUAUGCGGAGGAACACCGAUGGCGAAGGCAAUCCCCUGGACCUGUACUGACGAUCAUGCACGAAAGCGUGGGGAGCAAACA
rnacentral:rRNA from 1 species